GACGAACGCUGGCGGCGUGCUUAACACAUGCAAGUCGAACGGAAAGGCGCUGCUCUUGUGGGGUGCUCGAGUGGCGAACGGGUGAGUAACACGCGAGUAACCUGCCCUUGACUUUGGGAUAACAUCAGGAAACUGGGGCUAAUACCGGAUAGGAGCUCUUGCUGCAUGGUGGGGGUUGGAAAGUUUCGGCGGUUGGGGAUGGACUCGCGGCUUAUCAGCCUGUUGGUGGGGUAGUGGCUUACCAAGGGUUUGACGGAUAGCCGGCGUGAGAGGGUGACCGGCGACAUUGGGACUGAGAUACGGCCCAGACUCCUACGGGAGGCAGCAGUGGGGAAUAUUGCACAAUGGGCGGAAGCCAGAUGCAGCAGCGCCGCGUGCGGGAUGACGGCCUUCGGGUUGUAAACCGCUUUCGCCUGUGACGAAGCGUGAGUGACGGUAAUGAGUAAGGAAGCACCGGCUAACUACGUG
rnacentral:rRNA from 1 species